CUACAGCUUGGACAAAAGUCUAUAGCCAGUGCAUUCCUAGCUCCCCUUACACAGAGAGGCAGACACAGUCAGAGAGAAGACGCGCCGGGUCUCGGCUCGGCUCUCCUCUGUUAGCAGGUGAAACGCUGGAUAUCUAUGGGUCUUGGGGCCUGCAGGAAAUGGCAGGCAGUGGGAGGCUAAAAAGGCAAGAUGGCGUGGAGCUGCAGAGGGGCUGAGGCGGGUGAGAGCAGCCGCGCUGAGAGCACUCUGAGCGGGCACACGGAGCGACUGGACGCUAUGGAUCAUGAGAGCGGCUGCCGGAAAACUGCGCGGCCGGAAAAAGCGACUCCUCGCUGGGCGCGCAUGGGAGGAUCCGGCCGGCAGGCGCGGGGAACUUUUGGAUGUGUCAGUCAAAGUGAGU
rnacentral:lncRNA from 1 species